UUGUCGUCAGCUCGUGUCGUGAGAUGUUGGGUUAAGUCCCGCAACGAGCGCAACCCUCGACCUUAGUUGCCAGCAUUCAGUUGGGCACUCUAAGGUGACUGCCGGCUAAAAGUCGGAGGAAGUGGGGAUGACGUCAAAUCAUCAUGCCCCUUAUGACCUGGGCUACACACGUGCUACAAUGGGCGGUACAAAGGGUCGCGAACCCGCGAGGGGGAGGCCAAUCCCAAAAACGACCGCUCUCAGUUCGGAUUGCAGGCUGCAACUCGCCUGCAUGAAGCCGGAAUCGCUAGUAAUCGCGGAUCAGCAUGCCGCGGUGAAUACGUUCCCGGGUCUU
rnacentral:rRNA from 1 species